GGGCGGUUAGCUCAGUCGGUUAGAGCAUCUGCUUUACACGCAGGAGGUCAUAAGUUCGAGUCUUAUACCGCCCACCA
rnacentral:tRNA from 1 species